CUGGCCUUGAGUUGGCUUUGGAGCCCAGGCAGGUCUUGAAUACAUGACUCUUCUACAUCGGCCUUCCAGAUCGGGUCUCACAUAGCUAAGGUUGUCCUUGAACUCUCCAGGUGGCUGAAGAUAACCUUGGAUUCCAGAUCUUCCGGUCUCUACCUCCCAAGUUCUGAGAUUACAGGAUUCCCAUGGCCGACCCAGGUACUGAGGUACUGAGGAUCACACUCAUAUGCUACCUGAUUCUCAAACCUGUGACCUUGGCCACUGACUGCCUUGGGGAACAAAGGGAUCCUGUGUUCACUGAACAGCUAUCACUAAGCAACGUGUCCGGGUAUUACAGCACCCACGUGCCUGUCUGGAUGGCCUCCCUGGGAAGGAGGGGCAGCACAGACCUGUAUCUGUGUGGCUCCUGCUCCUGCUAGUCAGGUCAUGCAGGCUGGACCAAAGGGCCAGCAAGUCAGGUGCUCCUUUUGGUGGCAGCAUUGGCAAAGCAGGUAGGGGGAGGGAUGGCGCCUACCAGGGUCAUCUGUGAUCCUCACGCAAGUGGGAGACCACAGCUAUUGCUUCUUGGGCUCUUGCCUUGUGCAUGGCCCUAUCUGAGGGACCUUAGAUUACAUCCUCACAAGAGACCAGGAUGAGUGGGAGGAUAUGUGACCUCAUGGAGUCAUGUCCAGGUCCUGACAGCCAAUGCUCACAACUGUGACUUUAUUUGCAGAUACAACCCAGUCAAGAUUCCCAAGGAAAGACCGUCAUGGAUUAGGGUGGGUCCUAAGUCCUCACUGGAGAUGAAAGGGUUGAACAGAGGACUCUGUUGGGGGAGUGGGGCUCAGAACUGUGACGGAAUAUAUCUGUAAUUUUUACCUGUCUUAUUUUAUUUUCCCUUGAGACAAGGUCUCACUCUGUAGCUCAGGCUGGCCCUAAACUUGGCAAUCAAACUACCUCGGCUUGUGUCACCACACCAGGUUAAA